AGAGAAUUGGCCGAGUGGUCUAAGGCGGCAAGUUUGAGUUUUGCUCGGUUAGUGAUAGCCACAUCCGUUCGAAUCGGAUAUUCUCUG
rnacentral:tRNA from 1 species